AGCCCUACGGGAGGCAGCAGUGAGGAAUAUUGGUCAAUGGGCUUACGCCUGAACCAGCCAAGUCGCGUGAGGGAAGACUGCCCUAUGGGUUGUAAACCUCUUUUGUCAGGGAGCAACGCCGGCUACGUGUAGCCGGACUGAGAGUACCUGAAGAAAAAGCAUCGGCUAACUCCGUGCCAGCAGCCGCGGUAAUACGGAGGAUGCGAGCGUUAUCCGGAUUUAUUGGGUUUAAAGGGUGCGUAGGCGGAAUGCAAAGUCAGCGGUAAAAUCGCGGGGCUAAAGAUAGCUC
rnacentral:rRNA from 1 species